rnacentral:rRNA from 1 species
AGAGUUUGAUCAUGGCUCAGAUUGAACGCUGGCGGCAUGCCUAACACAUGCAAGUCGAACGAGAGUAGCAAUACUCUAGUGGCGGACGGGUGAGGAAUACGUAGGAAUUUGCCCUUAAGUGGGGGAUAGCCCGGGGAAACCCGGAUUAAUACCGCAUGAUCUCGAAAGAGCAAAGUGGGGGAUCGCAAGACCUCACGCUUUUGGAGAAGCCUACGUCGGAUUAGCUAGUUGGUGAGGUAAUGGCUCACCAAGGCGACGAUCCGUAACUGGUCUGAGAGGAUGAUCAGUCACACCGGAACUGAGACACGGUCCGGACUCCUACGGGAGGCAGCAGUGGGGAAUAUUGGACAAUGGGCGCAAGCCUGAUCCAGCAAUGCCGCGUGUGUGAAGAAGGCCUUCGGGUUGUAAAGCACUUUAAGUUGGGAAGAAAAAACUCGUCCUAAUACGAUGAGUCUUGACGGUACCGACAGAAUAAGCACCGGCUAACUCUGUGCCAGCAGCCGCGGUAAUACAGAGGGUGCAAGCGUUAAUCGGAUUUACUGGGCGUAAAGCGUGCGUAGGCGGUUUGCUAAGUCGGUUGUGAAAGCCCUGGGCUUAACCUGGGAAUUGCAGUCGAUACUGGCAGGCUAGAGAACGGUAGAGGGAGGCGGAACUCCAGGUGUAGCGGUGAAAUGCGUAGAUAUCUGGAAGAACACCGAUGGCGAAGGCAACCUCCUGGGCCUGUUCUGACGCUGAGGCACGAAAGCGUGGGUAGCAAACAGGAUUAGAUACCCUAGUAGUCC